GGAUGUGAGGGCCAUCUGUCUGAUACAUCUGUCACCCCAUUGAUCACCAGGGUUGAUUCUGCUGAUCUGGCUAGCUAGGUGGGUGUCCCCUUCCUCCCUCACUGAUCCAUGUGUGUCCCUCCCCAAAGCUGUGCGCUUGGUCAGAGAGGAACUACCUUCCCCGAAUAGAGACUGAAAGGUCUUUGGUUGAGGGUAUACAAGUAGCUACACUCCUCUGCUAGAACCUCCAAACAACUCACCAAGAAAGAACACGGUCAAACUGAAAUUUCUUUUCUUU
rnacentral:snRNA from 1 species